AUGAUAGAGGUUAUAGUUCUGAUAUGGAAACAAGUGGACGAGGCUGGUAGAAGCGGAGCAAGAGGUCGGGGUCGAGGUAACAGAGGUGGAGGGCGGCAUUUAAACGAUCAACGUUUCAAUUCUGGUUCCAGACAUCAAACGCCAGACAACAUAGACGAAAGAUUACCACCUCGACAAAGUUACCAAGCCAUGGGAUCGAGAGGUUCUCACAAUAAUAGCUACUCAUCAAGGCCAAGGGGCGCUGGUGGCCGGAAAGACCACCGACAGAACGAAGAUAGAUGGAGAGUUAAUGAUGACGAUGAACACUCUCAAUUAGAUUCUCAUUCACACGAAAACGCAGACAGAGGGUUACAUAAAGGCUCGCAAAAGAGUGGCCGCUCAGGAAAGCCGCGUGGAAAUUACCAGGGUGGUGGCACCAAAGAAAAUAGGCAAUUCAACGAUAGUUGGCGGCUGAGCGAUGAAGAUGACUCACAUGUUAGCAGGGUAAACUGGAGUGAAAACGCAGAAAAAGAAUCAGUAUCGAGUGUGGAAGGAGCACGAACAAAUAACCGCAGGCCACGAAAUGCCAGGCGCAAAACGCGACCCCGAAGCCACACACCGACCACUGAGAAAGAAACAAUGAGUGGUCAAGCUCAUGAAGUAGUAAAUAACAAAGACUCAGGAAAGAAUUCUCAAGAGAGCUCUAGAAAUCAACGAGAUUCACGGUCCAAAGGACAGAAGCCACCCCAGUCGAAGCGAGCCUCCGCAUCAGUUUCCAAUGACAAACCAAAGAACAACCACUUGUCAAUGGCACCUCCGAAUAGGAUUUCAUUUACUUCUUGUUUUUAUUUAUUUAUUAUUUUUUAAUUUUUCACGUUUAUUUGUUCUCUUAAAGAAAACUUCAAAUUUUGUUAUUUUGUGUCAGUCGUUCAACGCGUUGAAGUAGAAAAAUUUUUCCUUUUUUUUACAAAAAAAAAAAGCCUUCCACCAAAAACUAAUGGGUACCAUGUUCGAUUUCCGUUUUUUGUGCUAAAAUUUGUCGCCCAAAAAUUUUCUCUUGUAGCAGUAAUUACCAAGAUUACAUUGGUGCUCUUUUUCCUCGAAAUUGGUGGUCGAUGCCCUAGUUCCUAUUUUGCUUCUCGCUCACGUUUCGUAGUAUCUUUGUUCCAUACCCAAAGAAACUUACCGGACUGAUCUAGUUAACAAAUUCCCGAUUUAUUCAAAUGAACUUCUGAAGUAGCCCUUUCUACCCGGUACAAAGAUACAAAUGUACGGUUUUAGUAAAGCUCUCUUUCUUCCCCUUAUUUUUGGGUGUAACCUAAUAAAAUAAAGGAAUUAAAAUGGGGAAGUUUUUGAAGGGAAGAUGGUACUUCUUAAAAACUGUAAAUUAAACCUUUGGAGCAAAUAUCCUGAAAAUAAAGUCUGUAAAAUUGCGGAUUAACCCAGUUAUUAUCGUUCUCUGAAAAUUUCUAGUAAUUGAAUGGUCUCUUGGGUAUUCGGAAUUACCCCAUGCUAACAGGGAAUUCACAGGUAUUAAGUUGGCUGACUCUCCUAGUGAGAAGCAGGAUUUGCUGUUUGUGUUUAAUUUCAAUGGCAUACUAAAGGCUCGAUCUGUCUUGCUCCCGAAAUUAGCCAACUAAUUUGGGGUGAACGUUAGAUUCAGUUCUUUUAGCGAUGCCUAACUAUUGGAAUUCGAACAUAAUUUGAAUUUUAACAAUCAGUAUGGUUCAUGCUCCACCCUUACGUCAUUCUAACGAUACUUUAUCAGUCUAUAAUGAGAGUAAUCAUACCAUCUGAAAACCUUGAUGUCCUUUGUAAUGGAUUGAUACGAAACUGACCUCUAUAAAUAUCUCGCUUUAACUAAUGUCGUCAAACCGUACGAACUUUUCACAUAAUUGUCUCUUCUAUUCUACCCUUGCAUCUCUGUUAAUUUGUU
rnacentral:lncRNA from 1 species